rnacentral:rRNA from 1 species
UACGUAGGGGGCUAGCGUUGUCCGGAAUUAUUGGGCGUAAAGAGCGCGCAGGCGGUCGGAUAAGUCGAAUGUGAAAGCCCCCGGCUCAACUGGGGAGGGUCAUUCGAUACUGUUCGACUCGAAGGCAGGAGAGGGAAGUGGAAUUCCCGGUGUAGUGGUGAAAUGCGUAGAUAUCGGGAGGAACACCAGUGGCGAAGGCGACUUCCUGGCCUGUUCUUGACGCUGAGGCGCGAAAGCUAGGGGAGCAAACGGG